GGCUUUCUGAGGAUCAUAGAAGGUCGUGCCUUCCCGGUGGGUAUACGAGCCUUAACGGACGCGGUAAAUCGUGCUAAGGUAGCUAAAUUAUGGCCUAUUAAUUGUAGGUCCUGUGAAUGGUUUGACGAGUCUUCGUCUGUCUCAAGGUUAUUUAGGUGAAAUUAAAUUAAAUGUGUAAAUGCAUUUAUAUGUGAGAAAGACGAGAAGACCCUGUGAAGUUAGAAAUUUUUAUGGCAGCGUGAGGCCUUGGGGGUUUAGUAGCUUGAUAUUAGUUUUAUCUAAGUAAUUUAAUACUUCUUUAGGAAUAAAAAAAUUAAUUAGGUAAAUGAGAAAAGGGGUGUCAAUAAGAAAGUUUUGGCUGGGGCAGCAAAAAGGCAAAACUAGACCUUUUUAAUGGAUUAACGGGUGCGUUAUGAUCCACAUGGUUGGAGAGAUGUGCUUAGCAGAAGAAGUUACUCCAGGGAUAACAGCGUUAUCCAUCCUGACAGUUCUUAUAGAUGGGUGGGUUUGCGACCUCGAUGUUGGCUCUGGGUGUCCUGAAGCUGUAGGUGGUUUCAAGGGUUGGGUUGUUCGCCCAUUAAAACC
rnacentral:rRNA from 1 species